GCAAGUCGAACGGUAGCAUUUCUAGCUUGCUAGAAGAUGACGAGUGGCGGACGGGUGAGUAAUGCUUGGGAACUUGCCUUUGCGAGGGGGAUAACAGUUGGAAACGACUGCUAAUACCGCAUAAUGUCUUCGGACCAAACGGGGCUUCGGCUCCGGCGCAAAGAGAGGCCCAAGUGAGAUUAGCUAGUUGGUAAGGUAACGGCUUACCAAGGCGACGAUCUCUAGCUGUUCUGAGAGGAAGAUCAGCCACACUGGGACUGAGACACGGCCCAGACUCCUACGGGAGGCAGCAGUGGGGAAUAUUGCACAAUGGGGGAAACCCUGAUGCAGCCAUGCCGCGUGUGUGAAGAAGGCCUUCGGGUUGUAAAGCUCUUUCAGUUGUGAGGAAAAGUUAGUAGUUAAUACCUGCUAGCCGUGACGUUAACAACAGAAGAAGCACCGGCUAACUCCGUGCCAGCAGCCGCGGUAAUACGGAGGGUGCGAGCGUUAAUCGGAAUUACUGGGCGUAAAGCGCACGCAGGCGGUUUGUUAAGCUAGAUGUGAAAGCCCCGGGCUCAACCUGGGAUGGUCAUU
rnacentral:rRNA from 1 species